GCGGCCCCAGCGCAGUUGGUAGAGCGCAACCUGGCCACGGUUGGGGCCACGAGUUCGAGCUGCGUGUGUCGCUCCA
rnacentral:tRNA from 1 species